GGUCAAGCUACAAAGGGCUCACGGUGGAUACCUAGGC
rnacentral:rRNA from 2 species